rnacentral:rRNA from 1 species
UACCAGCACCCCGAGUGGUCGGGACGAUUAUUGGGCCUAAAGCAUCCGUAGCCGGCUUUACAAGUCCUCCGUUAAAUCCAGCUGCUUAACAGAUGGGCUGCGGAGGAUACUGAUAAGACGUAGGAGGCAGGAGUAGGCAAGCGGGUACUCAGUGGGAUAGGGUAAAUCCGUUGAUCCGAUGAAGACCACCAGUGGCGAAGGCGGACUUGCCAGAAUGCGCUCGACGGUGAGGGAUGAAAGCUGGGGGGAGCCAAAGCCGG